GACACGACUCUCGGCAAUGGAUAUCUCGGCUCUCGCAUCGAUGAAGAGCGCAGCGAAAUGCGAUACGUGGUGCGAAUUGCAGAAUCCCGCGAACCAUCGAGUCU
rnacentral:rRNA from 2 species